GGUGCCAUGAACAAUAUUUAAGACACCAUCAGGCAAACCAGCCUCCAUAGCCAGUGCUGCAAGUAUCAUUGAGGCCCCUGGAUUUUUCUCACAUGGCUUAAGAACAAAUGUAUUUCCACAUGUAACAGCAAUGGGGAACAUCCACAAGGCAAUCAUAGCUGGAAAGUUAAAAGGGCAUAUCCCAGCACAAACACCAAGUGGUUCUCUAAUGCAGUAUGUAUCAAUUCCAUUGCAUGCAUUAGGAACAAACUCCCCCAUUUGCAAAGU
rnacentral:misc_RNA from 1 species